AUGCGUGAUCAGGUCGGCAUCGACCUGGACGGCUUCCCCCUCGACCACGAGUUCCCAGAAGACUAUGGGAUAGAGGAAGAGGACGAUUGCAACAUCGAAGUGGAGUCUUUGGUCGAGGACGAGCUCGCCAACCAAACCGCCGGUCCCAAGCCGAAGCGCAAGAGCAAGCGCACGAAGGCGUACACAGCUGUCGAGGACAAGCUUCUUUGCGAGUGUUGGCGAGACAUUGUACAAGACCCAAAGACGGGCGCCGAGCAAAAGCAUUCAACCCUUUGGACUCGUGUGCACCGCGAAUUUCAUGAGCGCAAGAAGUUUCCACCCUACCAAUUUGUGAGCACGCGCGGGUGGGUCUCCAUUUCCAAGCGGUGGAGGGUGAUCCAACAAGAGUGCAACAAGUUUUAUGCCACCCUUGAGAGCGUCAAGGCCCGCCCCGUGAGCGGCAUCGGCGUGCAAGACAUAGUAUGA
rnacentral:rRNA from 1 species